CCUAUCUGGUUGAUCCUGCCAGUAGUCAUAUGCUUGUCUCAAAGAUUAAGCCAUGCAUGUCUAAGUGCCAAGCUGUGUUUACACGGCGAAGACCGCGGACGGCUCAUUAAAUCAGUCGUGGUCCAAAUGGGCCAGUAUCCUUUACUUGGAUAACUGUGGUAAUUCCAGAGCUAAUACAUGCAACCAAUACUCUGAAGGCAGGGAGAGCUUGUCGUCUUUCCUCUUGACGAGUGCUUUUAUUAGACCAAACUGCUGGGAGGAUUAGCGCGAGCGCGUCUCUCACGAGCCGCUCCGCUGCCUCGACUCGCUAUGUGGUGACUCUGGAUAACCAAUGUUGACAAGCGCACGUACCUUCUCUCUGAGUUGGACGGCGCUGCCACUUUCGAGUGUCUGCCUUAUCAGCUUUCAAUCGCUCGCUACACGCGACCGAUGGCUUUGACGGGUAACGGGGAAUGCAGGGUUCGAUUCCGGAGAGGCAGCCUGAGAAACGGCUACCACGUCCAAGGACGGCAGCAGGCACGCAAAUUACCCAAUCCCAGCACCUGGGGGAGGUAGUGACGAAACCUAACGAUGCGGGCGCCCUUACUGGGCCCCGCAAUCGGAAUGAGCACUUUCUAAACAACCUGUUGAGAACCUACUGAAGGGCAAGUCUGGUGCCAGCAGCCGCGGUAAUUCCAGCUUCAGUAGCAUCUAUUAAAGUUGCUGCGGUUAAAAGGCUCGCAGUUGAAUGUCAGUGCCGGGCGUUAGUAGGUGGACGCUGGGGUGUGGGACUCCGGCUGUGCUCUCUCGCGGGAGUGCAGUCUCCCAUAUGCUCCCGUCCGUGACAAGCCUCUGCGCCUGCGUACACAGUGGUGUCAACCUCUGCUAGUCUUGUGCUCUCUCUCUCACUCCGCUCUGCGCUGUGAGGUGUGGGUGCGGGCUUGCAGUCUGGCACCAAUGUCACCCUGAGUAAAUCAGAGUGCUCAAAGCAGUCGUAACGGGCGCAAGCCCUGUGAACACACAGUCCUCGUGACAGGGACAGUCUUGGUUUUGCAUGGCAUGUCGGAAUACGACGACGGGUGCUGGCUAAGAGUUUAAUUACACAGUGGUAUAAGCCAGCCUCGUCGUACUGAUUAAAAGGGCUUGUCGAGGGCAUUAGUAUUGCGGAGCGAGAGGUGAAAUUCUAUGACCUCCGCAAGACUUCCUGAAGCGAAAGCGUCUGCCAAGGAUGUUUUCAUUAAUCAUGAACGAAAGUUAGAGGAUCGAAGGCGAUCAGAUACCGCCCUAGUUCUAACCCUAAACGAUGCCAACCAUCAAUCCGCGCGUAGCACCCUUUUGUACGGGCUCGGCGGGCAGCUCCUUUUCACGGGAAACCAGAGUCUCUGGGUUCCGGGGGGAGUCUGGUUGCAAAGCUGAAACUUAAAGGAAUUGACGGAAAGGCACCACCAGGCGUGGAGCUUGCGGCUUAAUUUGACUCAACACGGGUAAUCUCACCAGGCCAGCACUCUAGCAUGAUUGACAGAUUGAGAGCUCUUUCUCGAUUCAGUGGAUGGUGGUGCAUGGCCGUUCUUAGUUGGUGGAGUGAUCUGUCUGGUUAAUUCCGAUAACGAACGAGACUCUCCCCUGCUAACUAGUCGGUUGGAUCUUGAUAUGCGAGUUGCGCCCUGCCACGGUAGACGGCGGAGUAGUGCUUGGGUAUGUCUGUCUCUCUCGCUAUCGCUGCAGUACUGUUGUGGGCCUCGGGGUACUCUGCGCGGAAACGUGUGGAUGCUCUCUUGCGCUCCCUCUUGCUGUGUGCGUGUGUGUGGGGAGGUCGGUCCCUUGCGCCUCUGGCCUUGCCGAGGACCAGGUAGUGCACUCCAAGUCCGCCGCUGUGUCUUAGAAUUCUUCUUAGAGGGAUCAACGGCUCUGAAGCCGUCAGAGACUGAGAGCAAUAACAGGUCUGUGAUGCCCUUAGAUGCUCUGGGCCGCACGCGUGCUACAAUGCCGGGCACAGCAGGUGUUAUCUCCUGUUCCGAGAGGAACGGGCAACCCUCUGAAAGCCCUUCAGCAUUUCUCUCGUCUUGGCCACUCGCGUGGUUCGAGGCGAGAGCGGCGUGCUUGGGCCUGGGGCUUGCAAUUAUUCCCCACAAACGAGGAAUGCCUAGUAGCGGUAGGUCACUGAGCCUGCCGUGACCGAGUCCCUGCCCUUUGUACACACCGCCCGUCGCUACUACCGAUUGGGUGUACCAGUGAGAGCCUUUGGACUGGCGGCCGUUGCUCUACUCUUCGGAGUGAGCAAGCGGAUUCGACUGAAAGAGGUCCGAACUGGUGCACUUAGAGGAAGUAAAAGUCGUAACAAGGUUUCCGUAGGUGAACCUGCGGAAGGAUCAUUA
rnacentral:rRNA from 1 species